rnacentral:rRNA from 1 species
GACGAACGCUGGCGGCGCGCCUAACACAUGCAAGUCGAACGAGCGAGAGAGAGCUUGCUUUCUCAAGCGAGUGGCGAACGGGUGAGUAACGCGUGAGUAACCUGCCUCAAAGAGGGGGACAACAGUUGGAAACGACUGCUAAUACCGCAUAAGCCCACAGCUCGGCAUCGAGCAGAGGGAAAAGGAGCAAUCCGCUUUGAGAUGGCCUCGCGUCCGAUUAGCUAGUUGGUGAGGUAACGGCCCACCAAGGCAACGAUCGGUAGCCGGACUGAGAGGUUGAACGGCCACAUUGGGACUGAGACACGGCCCAGACUCCUACGGGAGGCAGCAGUGGGGAAUAUUGCACAAUGGGGGAAACCCUGAUGCAGCGACGCCGCGUGGAGGAAGAAGGUCUUCGGAUUGUAAACUCCUGUUGUUGAGGAAGAUAAUGACGGUACUCAACAAGGAAGUGACGGCUAACUACGUGCCAGCAGCCGCGGUAAAACGUAGGUCACAAGCGUUGUCCGGAAUUACUGGGUGUAAAGGGAGCGCAGGCGGGAAAGCAAGUUGGAAGUGAAAUCCAUGGGCUCAACCCAUGAACUGCUUUCAAAACUGUUUUUCUUGAGUAGUGCAGAGGUAGGCGGAAUUCCCGGUGUAGCGGUGGAAUGCGUAGAUAUCGGGAGGAACACCAGUGGCGAAGGCGGCCUACUGGGCACCAACUGACGCUGAGGCUCGAAAGUGUGGGUAGCAAACAGG